GUCCUCUUGAUUUUUUAGGAGGUCAGACCUGCCCAGUGAUAAAUUUAACGGCCGCGGUAUACUGACCGUGCAAAGGUAGCAUAAUCAUUAGUCUUUUAAUAGAAGGCUGGAAUGAAGGGUUUAACGAAAAAUUAGCUGUCUCAAUUAUAUUUUAGAAUUUAGCUUUUAAGUUAAAAGGCUUAAUUUUUGUUGGAGGACGAGAAGACCCUAUAGAGCUUUACAAUUUUAUUUAUUAUUUUUUAAAGUUUAAUAAUUAAUAUUAGUUUUUAAAAUUGUUUUGUUGGGGUGACAAAAAUAUAUAUUUAACUUUUAUUAUUUUUUUACAUUAAUUUAUGAGUUUUGGAUCCAUCAUAGGUGAUCAUUAGAAUAAGUUACCUUAGGGAUAACAGCGUAAUCUUCUUUCAGAGUUCAAAUUUACAAGAAGGCUUGCGACCUCGAUGUUGGAUUAAGAUUAUAGUUAGGUGUAGCAGCUUAACUUAUAGGUCUGUUCGACCUUUAAAUUCUU
rnacentral:rRNA from 1 species